rnacentral:rRNA from 1 species
UAGAGUUUGAUCCUGGCUCAGGACGAACGCUGGCGGCGUGCCCAAUACAUGCAAGUCGAACGCUUUUUCUUUCACCGGAGCUUGCUCCACCGAAAGAAAAAGAGUGGCGAACGGGUGAGUAACACGUGGGUAACCUGCCCAUCAGAAGGGGAUAACACUUGGAAACAGGUGCUAAUACCGUAUAACACUAUUUUCCGCAUGGAAGAAAGUUGAAAGGCGCUUUUGCGUCACUGAUGGAUGGACCCGCGGUGCAUUAGCUAGUUGGUGAGGUAACGGCUCACCAAGGCAACGAUGCAUAGCCGACCUGAGAGGGUGAUCGGCCACACUGGGACUGAGACACGGCCCAGACUCCUACGGGAGGCAGCAGUAGGGAAUCUUCGGCAAUGGACGAAAGUCUGACCGAGCAACGCCGCGUGAGUGAAGAAGGUUUUCGGAUCGUAAAACUCUGUUGUUAGAGAAGAACAAGGAUGAGAGUAAAAUGUUCAUCCCUUGACGGUAUCUAACCAGAAAGCCACGGCUAACUACGUGCCAGCAGCCGCGGUAAUACGUAGGUGGCAAGCGUUGUCCGGAUUUAUUGGGCGUAAAGCGAGCGCAGGCGGUUUCUUAAGUCUGAUGUGAAAGCCCCCGGCUCAACCGGGGAGGGUCAUUGGAAACUGGGAGACUUGAGUGCAGAAGAGGAGAGUGGAAUUCCAUGUGUAGCGGUGAAAUGCGUAGAUAUAUGGAGGAACCACCCAGUGGCGAAGGCGGCUCUUCUGGUCUGUAANCUGACGCUGAGGCUCGAAAGCNGUGGGGAGCGAACAGGAUUAGAUACCCUGGUAGUCCACGCCGUAAACGAUGAGUGCUAANU